UGGCAGAAGUCGCCGCUGUCAUUUAGUCGGCAGUCACGCCUUGGACUUAGGGUUCGCGGUUGUUCGAGCAGGACUUGGAUCCGAUGCUGAAUAAAACUCACCGUGAAGCAAGUCCCACUGGACGAAAAGUUGGUCGUAGCAUUUCUCAGGUACAAGAAUCGGCACCAGCGCCCGUUUAACCAGUCCGUCUACCUCGGCCGCCAUAUUGUAAACCUAGCUUCCGCCAGUCUCUACAAACCGUCAUUGCCUUAUAUUGCGCGUGCGCACCCCGAGCACUCCGCCUCUUGUUCUUCUCCCGCGACGAAACUGCACCGCCCCCUAUUCUCCGCUCUUUCUUCCGCCACCCCAGCUUUAGUAGCGUAAAAUAGGUCUCAUUCAGAGACCACGUUUUGGAAGGACUUCGUUGUUCGCAUUGUAAAGCUGUACGCCUGCGCCGUUAGACCUUCCGCGCCUUUGUUUACGCUUCCAGUUCAGAAGCGAGAUUUAUCCCCCUGCCUUUUUCCGCUCUUCCGGCUAGGCGCCAUCUUGCCUUCUCGCAGCCAACUUUAUAUUGUUCGAAGUUGAGAGUGAAGGAGCGUUAUUCUUCAAAAUGGCGUUGAGUAGGGGCGCCUGUAGCUCUUUUUCUCCUGUUGUUUCGGUGUCUCCAGAGGGAACAGCGCUGGCGGGAGCAGGACAGUCUGCACUGGGCAGCUCUCCUUAGGCACCGGCCGCGCACACCCACCUUGGAAGAUGGGUGCACCAGCAACUGCUGGGCCAGGGACAGUGAAGCAGAGGAGGUGGGGGAGGCAAGCCCAGCUGGGGAGCUGGCAGUCUCCGUGAAGCCCAGGUUGUUUCUGGCUCUCUGAGACUCAACCAUGGAAGGCACAGAAAGGCAUUUGACAAGAAACUCAUGGCUUUUAAUCCUGGCGGGACAAGGGAAACCAAAGACAAAGAUUUGAGUAGGUUUCACUACUCUUCCUGCUGGGAAUGGGGGAGGGAGAAUCUCACAUUUAAUAAAAAUCUCUCCACUCUUCCCUCCCAA